rnacentral:lncRNA from 1 species
ACUUACAACCCUUCUCUAGUCUGCUACAAUGGAAUCUUAAACAAGAAAAUUUUAUAUUUUGACUUGCAUCAUUGAGAAAAACACUGCCAACCUGAUCGUGGUUCCUUUGAAGGUGUGUCAUGCAGUCUGUGCACUGCAUAGAGGCUCCUGAAAUCACUGCAGCAGGUGCGAGAGAGGACUCAUGGAGCUUGCAGAUGAGCUAGCCCAGGGAAAGUGAUGAGACUCACACUAGGUUCUUCUAAGUUUUUAGAGUACUUCGUCCACGGCGCCAAGGUGUCUAGGGCAGAGACACCACAACCUCCUAAGGAGUGUUACCCGUGAUGCCAGGUGCAGGUGAAAGAAGUUGGAAUUGAAAAGAGCAGCAAAAAAUGUACUGCUUUUUAGUGCAUAAGAUCAUGAAAAUAUUGCACUGAUAUAAAGAGCUCCUACAAGUCAAUAAAUAGCCCAGUGAAAAACUAGAGAAGGAUAGGAAGAACAAUUCACGAAAGAAGAAGUAAAAAUAAACAGAUGAAAAGAUGCUCAGUUGCACCGAUAAGGAAAUGCAAAUUAAAACAAUAAAACACAGCCAGGCAUGGUGGCUCAUGCCUGUAAUCCCACCGAGGCUGAGGCAGGAGGAUCCAUUGAGGCCAGGAGCUCCAGACCAGCCUGAACAACGUAGCAAGAUCCCACUGAGAGGACUGUUUGAGCCCAGGAGUUCCAGGUUACAGUGAGCUUAAAAGAAGAAUGUGAAGCCAGUGGCCCGCCUGAUGGUGGA